rnacentral:rRNA from 1 species
AUGGCCGAAGUCAUCGUCCAGAGGGCAUGCGCGAAGCUCAGAUCCGCCAUAGGAUAUGAAGCCGUGGCGCGUUCGAACUUCACCGGUGACCUGCGUGAGAUGUUGGCGGCGCUCGAGGCCAUCCAGCCGGUGGUGGACAAAGUGGCGACGCAGCUGGUCAGGGAUAAACUGCUGUCGUCGUGUUGGCUGCAUAGUGCGUUGAACGCCGCCUACAGGACCAUAGACACUGUGGACGAGCUGCAGGACGCGAGAUCACAGGCUGCUACGACGAUGACAAGAGGGAUGUUGCCCCGCCUUGCCAUCAUGAAGAAUGCCAUGGCCAUCCAGGUACAGGGGACGAAAAAACUUGUGAUGUUGGCACAGCAGCAGUUCCGUGGGUUCUCAGAAUUUCUGGUAGAAUGCACCAUAAUGUUCCAGGAAAUUACUGAGAAACGAAAAACUGGACCAGUUUUGGAGGAAACAAUGGUUCUGGGAAGAGAAUCAGAUAAAGAGAGGAUAAUAGCCGCCCUGCUAUCUACCCAGCUCAACAUCAUGCAAGAGCACAACACCAUUAUUCCCAUCUUUGGGCUUGCAGGCAGCGGCAAGACAACCUUGGCACAAAUGGUGUUUAACGAUAAGCACUCCCUCCAAGGCUACGACUUCCGGGUAUGGGUUUAUGUGUCUCCCCAGUUCGACUUCCAUACAAUAGGCAACUCCAUUAUAUGUCAUGUGUCAGAAAUGGGGCAGGAAGAGAUCAAUCAUUCUUCUUCACACGUGGAGGGGAUGGAGAGUAUAAUGAAGCGCCUUCACGAGCUACUUAAUGGUAAGAAGGUGCUCCUUGUGUUGGAUGACUUGUGGGAGGAGGAUCCCAUUCAGUUACAGUUAUUGAAGUCCAUGUUAACUUUCUUGGGAGACAAGAUGGACGUAAUAAUAACCACAUAUAUACAACCAUGCCAUCGCCAGGAAGAUCUGUACAGUUGA